rnacentral:rRNA from 1 species
UGGGGAAUCUUGCGCAAUGGGGGAAACCCUGACGCAGCGACGCCGCGUGCGGGAUGAAGGCCUUCGGGUUGUAAACCGCUUUCAGCAGGGACGAGGCCUUAUGGUGACGGUACCUGCAGAAGAAGCUCCGGCUAAAUACGUGCCAGCAGCCGCGGUAAUACGUAGGUGGCAAGCGUUGUCCGGAAUUAUUGGGCGUAAAGCGCGCGCAGGUGGUUUAGAAAGUCUGAUGUGAAAGCCCACGGCUCAACCGUGGAGGGUCAUUGGAAACUAAUAAACUUGAGUGCAGGAGAGAAAAGUGGAAUUCCUAGUGUAGCGGUGAAAUGCGUAGAGAUUAGGAGGAACACCGGUGGCGAAAGCGGCUUUUUGGCCUGCAACUGACACUGAGGCGCGAAAGCGUGGGGAGCAAACAGG